rnacentral:piRNA from 1 species
UCUAGGACAGAUUUUUCAGUCAUCAGCUGUA